AACCGCGUGGAGAAAUGGAUAACGCAUCGGCCUUGGGAACCGAAGAUUGCAGGUUCGAAUCCUGCCGUGGUCG
rnacentral:tRNA from 1 species